rnacentral:rRNA from 1 species
CGACGGGUGAGUAACGCGUGGAUAACCUGCCGUAUACUGGGGGAUAACACUUAGAAAUAGGUGCUAAUACCGCAUAAGCGCACAGUCUCGCAUGAGACGGUGUGAAAAACUCCGGUGGUAUACGAUGGAUCCGCGUCUGAUUAGCUUGUUGGCGGGGUAACAGCCCACCAAGGCGACGAUCAGUAGCCGGCCUGAGAGGGUGAACGGCCACAUUGGGACUGAGACACGGCCCAAACUCCUACGGAAGGCAGCAG